ensembl:lncRNA
GGAAACCGCAAGCUUUAUCGCUUUCAGUCUAAUGCAAGCACUUCAGAGCAGGGGAACUUUGAAGGUGUCUUCAUUGAAAAAGAUGAGGAAGUUGCUGAGUUUGUGAAAUACAUCCAGAGACACACAAAUCAUGUAAGAUACACAUAUAUAUAUUAGUGCUGUUAAUCUUGUUAAAAUGACGUUAAUGCCGUAACCAUAUACACUUACGUGUGUGUGUGUGUGUGUGUUUGUGUGUGUAGACAUAUAUGGAUGGGUCGAUAUUUUUUUUUUAUUUUUCUCUUGGUGUUGUCGUAAUACUAUUUACUUUACUUUAUCUUAAUGUGUACUUAAUUUUGUCACCAUGUGUAUUUAAAAAAAACAACAUGAUUUUUAUUUUGUGUUAUCAGUGCUGUCCUGGGGAGAUCUGAGGUCUUGUGUGACUCGAGGCUAAUUCAGCUAAUUGUUAUGCAUUUGUUUUAAAAAGUUUGUCCCUGAUAGGGCUUCAUCAUGUCAUGUCUUUUAUGUUAAAAUCUUUGAGUGUAUAGGUCCCGGGGAAAGGGUUGUGCGGAUCUUCAUCUUGGACUGCAGCAAAGGAGUCGUCCAAAAAGUCCACUGGGAAGUUGGAUGAGGAGGGCAUGGAAAUAGCUGUUUGUCGCCACGGAGUCCUCUUAGCUGCAUUGAACAUGUUUCGAGGGGAGAUCUUUGCUUACCCCCUUUUUCUCCAGAGGAAGUUGGCAGCUAGCGUCCCAGGACAUAUUACGUUCCUUUGCUCCGAUGUGGCCUGUAAAUAUUUCCCCUAUUUAACCAAGGUGGCUCAGCAGUGCCCUGAGCUGAGGAACCUCUUGUCAAUGCUUCCUCUUCUCUCCGUCAUGCAUGCAAAGCUCACACUUGGAAAUGCGAGGUAUACUGCAGCUUGUAGUUUUGGAUUAGUUUGAGACAUUUUGUUAUAAGGUUGAAUGAAUUCAGCAGUCAUGUAUUGUGACCUCCUUUCUAUAGAUCAAAUGGGGAGGUGCGUUUCAGGAUGGGGCCGGUUCAACAGUUGGAGAAGAGGUGGAACAAGUAAACAGUUUCCUGUCUAGGGCGGCCAUCACAACGAAGUACAUGUCUAAAGCAGGGCGAACAGACAUGCUGACCCUCCUGGCUUUGGGGUGGAACAAAAGGAAAGUGGAACAACUGGGCCGCACUUUGAGCCAGUGAUAUCUAAAGAUCAUAAGGAUCCUUAGAGAACAAGUGGAGCCUGAAUGCGAGCAGAAAUGAGCUGGGUGUGGAUGACGACACACUGCAGCAAUGGGCUGAAGAAAGUGAUCAAACUGAUGGCAGCCUUGGAGCGUUGCAGGCACGAAUAGAGGAGCUUGUCGUCAUCAUCAGAGUGCGAACACAAAGUCUUUACAGACAAAAUGGUGUCCCAGUUUCUUUGAAACGGACCGUUUGAUGCUGAGUUUGUACAGCUUGUGCAGCUACUUUGUAAACAGAAUAAAAUCAGAUCCAGGUUUGUUUGAGCUGGAUGUGAUUUGUUCCAGCAAACAAAUUGAUGAGUGUAGAUUAAAAUGUAACUAUAUACAUUAUGUGAAGGUGUGAAUUUUUUAUGCUUAUUUACAGAUAGCAACAAGAGGCGACACAGAAUUCGCAAGGUCAUCUUAGUUGAGAAGAAACGCUUGGCGGCUGCUGUUGACGACUACAACAAGCUCGCUGAACCAACAAAGCAAAUCGUAUCCAGUGAUGCCCUCAUGCAGAGCGACGUUUGGCCCUGGCAGAGCACAAGUGAACCUGCUGCUGACCUCCGGACAAAGAGAAAGGUCUUUGAGAAGGUGAUGGCUGUGAGGCGCCUGAGAGAGGAGGAGAUGAUGCUCUGCAGGGAGAUGCAGCAUCACUGGACAGUGUUGCGAAUGCGUUCUGUGGUGUUGGGGACAAUCUCCUCAGACUCCUCCUUUGUUGGCAUGUCGGAGGAUGCACAGAAGGGACUCUGUAGCCUGGUUUUAAAAAAACAAAGUGAACUGAAAGCUGAAAUGCUCAAAGUAAAGGACGUGUACAAGAGAAUCCUCAGCCACCAACCACUCCUGGAAAUGGACUCGGAGGAGGAGGAGGACAUUCCAGACGAUGCCACUGAGAGUGAUUUGAGCACUUCUGAUGAAGACUGAUUGUGUCAUCAUUGAUGUUUUGUUUGGUAAAAUAAAAAGUUAAUCACAUCUCUGUUCAAUGUGAUUUUUCAACAGACAUUUUACAUUUUGAGAAGAAAAAUGGAAUUCCCUUGGUGCAGUUGUUUACCCUGAAUCAUUAUUUCCCAUCUAAUUUAAUGACUAGUGUACAUGUUCAGAUACGAUAACAUAAUUUAAUUUAUGGGAUGCUUUCUGGGCUGCUCAAAUUAUCAC